rnacentral:rRNA from 1 species
AUUGAACGCUGGCGGCAUGCCUUACACAUGCAAGUCGAACGGUAGAGUAGCAAUACUUGAGAGUGGCGAACGGGUGAGUAAUAUAUCGGAACGUGCCCAGUCGUGGGGGGAUAACGUAGAGAAAUUUACGCUAAUACCGCAUACGAUCUAAGGAUGAAAGCGGGGGAUUCGCAAGAACCUCGCGCGAUUGGAGCGGCUGAUAUCAGAUUAGGUUGUUGGUGAGGUAAAAGCUCACCAAGCCGACGAUCUGUAGCUGGUUUGAGAGAACGACCAGCCACACUGGGACUGAGACACGGCCCAGACUCCUACGGGAGGCAGCAGUGGGGAAUUUUGGACAAUGGCGAAAGCCUGAUCCAGCCAUGCCGCGUGCAGGAAGACGGUCCUAAUGGGAUUGUAAACUGCUUUUAUAC